rnacentral:lncRNA from 1 species
AUGGCAAGGGGAGACGGGGUCUGCGGGAGACAACCUACAGUCACACCUCCUGAGUUAUCAGGACCUCUUCCCCAGCUUCACCUGCUGACUUGGCUGAGACGGCCCAGGGAAAGUUCUAGGCCUUCAGGAAAGGGCCGGAGCUGGCUGGCCUGGCCAAGGGCAUGCGUGGCUAGGAGAAGCUGCCAGAAGAACAAGCCGAAUGUGCCAGCAGGCCAGGUGAUACCAACGCCGGCCCCUGUGCAGACGUCCUGCUCCUCAGAGUCAGAGGAUGGAAGAGGCUGCAUGGGACAGGGACAGCACUCUGUGGCUCUAGGCCUCAGCCUGCAGGACCCCGUGUCCCCAAGGCCAACACUCAGGGCCCCUCCCCUCGGCCUAGGCCUCGGGGUGCGUGCAGCACAGUCUCCUCUGCGAAGCCCUCCCCUCCUGAGUCCUCUGUCCCACUAGAGCCUGGUCCUCUUCCCCCCUCUGUCUACACCACUCCCUGUACUCACGCUCUCUCACUCUCUCACUCACUCUCUCUCAAAUAAAUAAAUCAAUAAAAUCUUUUAAAAUGAAUGAAUGAAUGAAUGAAUGAAUGAAUGAAUGAUGCUGGAGCAAUUGGGUCAGAAAAAAAAUUACUUCAACCUAAGCUAAAUCCCACCUUCUAUGCAAAAAUCAACUCGAAACGGGUCCCGGGGAAUGUGAAGGUAGGAAACUUUCAAGAAAAGAAGAAAAUCUAUGGGAUGUAAAGUAGGCAAAGUGUUUUCUGGAUUUGACAGCAAAAAUAUGACCCCAAAAAAGGAAAAAGUGAUAAACCCAACUUCAUCAGAUUUAAAAACUUCUACUCCACGAAAGACCCGUUUAGAGAAUGAAAAUGCAGCCUACAGGCCAGGAGAAAAUAUUUGCCAAUCCUAUAUAUUCGACAACAGGCGACUUACUGUCUAGAAUGUAUAAAAAAUUCUCAAAACCCAACAGUGGGGGGUGGAGAAUUCCAGUGAGAAAAUGAUGGGCAAAAAGCCCCAUGAGACGUUCAAUACGAGCAGCCAAUAAACUCAGGAGAAGAUGCUCAGCAUCGUUAUUCACCAGGAAAGCAGAGCAGAAGCACAAGGAGACAUGACUGUGUCCAGGAUGAUGGGAAUGAGGAAAACCAGCAAACCCGGUGCUGGCGGUGAGGUGGGGAAACUGGUGGCUCCACUUCGCGGAGCGGCACGCACGACGGCGCGGCCAGGCCGGAGGAGAGAUUUUUGACAUUGCCUUCAACCAACCAGCACACACAAACUAAAUACGCCACGGUCCGGGAAGGGCACUCCUAGGCCUUUAUCCCCGAGAUACAGAAUCUUACGGUCACUUUUUUUUUUAAUAGCAUACAGAUGUUUUAUAGUCGCUUUCUCUGUGACGCCCUCAAACUGGAAGCAGUGCACACGUCCUUCUCUGAGCGAAUAUGGCUAAACACACGAUGGUCCCUCCAUCCACACAAGGGCCAAGGCUCAGCAGUAAAGAACUGGUGGGGGAACGCCUGGGGGGCUCAGCGGUGGAGCGUCUGCCUUCGGCUCAGGACAUGACUCUGGGGUCCUGGGAUCGAGUCCCGCAUCGGGGUCCCCACAGGGAGCCUGCUUCUCCCUCUGCCUGUGUCUCUGCCUCUCUCUCUGUGUCUGUCAUGAAUAAAUAAAUAAAAUUUAUUUUAUUUUUUUUUAAAAAAGAACUGGUGGUGAUCCACACCACCGUGAUGAAUCUGCAGGGAAUUAUGCUGGGCGAAGAUCAUCUCAAAAAUCCCAAAAUGUUGCAGGAGGAGGGGCCGCGGUGGGAACAUUCUGUGCCUUGGGUGUCUGUGCCCGUGACCCCUACUGCAGGUACAGGACCACCAUGCGGAGAGGUGGUGCAGGGUGCCGGCUCUGAAUCUCUCCAGUAUUAUUUCCUAAAAGGGCAUGUGAAUUCUGCACUGCGAACUUGUAGGAAGAGGGGGGCCGGGAGGUCAGCCAGAGAAGUCUAUAUUCAGAGUGCCGAGAAAUCGCUCCCCGAAGGAGAAGGCCUUCCUGGGCUGCUUAACUGCAGGGCAUAGGGACGCACGAAGCCUGUCAUUGCACAGAUGUGCCAGAAAGUGAAGAAUGUUGAAAAGCCUUGACUGAAGGUACUGAGAAAAUUCUCACCCCAAAACCAAUUUUUUUUAAAAAAAAAAGAUAUUUAUUUAUUUAUUUAUUUAUUUAUUUGUUUGUUUGAGACGGAGAGAGCGUGAGGUGGGGGGGACCAGCAGAGGGAGAGGGAGAAGCAGGCUCCCCGCUGAGCACGGAGGCGGAUGUGGGGCUCAAUCCCAGGACACCGGGGUCAUGACCUGAGCCGAAGGCAGACGCCUCACCGACUGAGCCACCCAGGCGCCCCCCUUAAAAACAAAACUUCUUAAGUUCAUCAUUAAAAUAACGAAACAAGAAAUGAAGUACGGUUCCUUCUUUGAGAUUAAAGAUCAGAAUGCAGCACAGUAUUUCAGGGUGAAACUGGAUUUCUUUUCUUAAAUAUUGUGGGCUUUUUUUUUAAGUAAACUUUAACGUGGGGCCUGAACCCACGACCCUGGAUCGAGAGCCGCACGCUCCACCAACAGAGCCAGGCAGGCGCCCCUGAACCUGGACUUCUAAGCCUCAACGCAUGGUCAGCAUUUAAUGCUAAUUUUUGGAAAACUCUGUAAAUGUUUCUUAGAUAUUUGUGUUGCUUUUACUGGAACCUAGCUCAGGAACGGUAUUAAUAAAAUACUUACUACAAAUGUUUUGGAAAUCACAUGUGACUGGGCAAUUACCUCAAGUAAAACAAUUUUUUUUAAGUUAAGAAUAAAAUGAGUAUAGGCAUGUUGUAUUUUAUAUUUAAUAAUAUAUCGUGAGCAUUUUUCAUUGUCGAAAAUAUGCUUAUAUAUUAUAUAUUAUUGAGUAUAAACGUUUCGCUUAUACAUAGACCGUAUUAUUCAACUAUUCCCCUCCCCCAGGGAUUUGGGCUAUUUCAAGUCAUUUGUUUAUUAUUUUUUAAAAUGCUGAGAAUAGGGGCGCCUGGGUAGCCAGACUCUUGGUUUCGGCUCAGGUCACGGUCUCAGGGUCAUGAGAUCGAGCCCCAAGUCAGGCUCCGUGGUCGGUGUGGGGGCUGCUUGGGCUUCUUUCUCCCUCUCCCUCUUCCCCUCCCUCCAAGCUCACUCACGCUGUCUCUCCAAUAAAUAGAUAAAUCUUUUUUUUUUAAAGGCUGAGGAUAACAUCCUGGUGCCCUUUUUUGUUUUGUUUUUUGUAUCUUUAUUGAGAUACAAAUAACAUCAUCAUAAUAAUGCACCCAUUUCAGGUGUACAGUUUAGGGGCUCCUCCCACAACCCGGUGCCUCCCUGGAGGCCGAGCCGACGGUCAGGCCCACAGGUCUGCUCAGUCAGCCGGUG